GAUGAACGCUGGCGGCGUGCCUAAUACAUGCAAGUCGAGCGAACAGACGAGGAGCUUGCUCCUCUGACGUUAGCGGCGGACGGGUGAGUAACACGUGGAUAACCUACCUAUAAGACUGGGAUAACUUCGGGAAACCGGAGCUAAUACCGGAUAAUAUAUUGAACCGCAUGGUUCAAUAGUGAAAGACGGUUUUGCUGUCACUUAUAGAUGGAUCCGCGCCGCAUUAGCUAGUUGGUAAGGUAACGGCUUACCAAGGCAACGAUGCGUAGCCGACCUGAGAGGGUGAUCGGCCACACUGGAACUGAGACACGGUCCAGACUCCUACGGGAGGCAGCAGUAGGGAAUCUUCCGCAAUGGGCGAAAGCCUGACGGAGCAACGCCGCGUGAAUGAUGAAGGUCUUCGGAUCGUAAAACUCUGUCAUUAGGGAAGAACAAAUGUGUAAGUAACUAUGCACGUCUUGACGGUACCUAAUCAGAAAGCCACGGCUAACUACGUG
rnacentral:rRNA from 1 species